rfam:Schistosoma rodhaini strain Burundi genome assembly, scaffold: SROB_scaffold0005236
ACACUGCUGAGGAGUCCCAUAAUAGGACGAUUUGGCCGUCCAGUGU